rnacentral:rRNA from 1 species
UACGUAGGGGGCAAGCGUUAUCCGGAUUUACUGGGUGUAAAGGGAGCGCAGGCGGUCUGGCAAGUCUGAUGUGAAAGGCCGGGGCUCAACCCCGGGACUGCAUUGGAAACUGUAAAGCUAGAGUGCCGGAGAGGUAAGCGGAAUUCCUAGUGUAGCGGUGAAAUGCGUAGAUAUUAGGAGGAACACCAGUGGCGAAGGCGGCUUACUGGACGGCAACUGACGCUGAGGCUCGAAAGCGUGGGGAGCAAACAGG